GAUGAACGCUGGCGGCGUGCCUAAUACAUGCAAGUCGAGCGAACAGACGAGGAGCUUGCUCCUCUGACGUUAGCGGCGGACGGGUGAGUAACACGUGGAUAACCUACCUAUAAGACUGGGAUAACUUCGGGAAACCGGAGCUAAUACCGGAUAAUAUAUUGAACCGCAUGGUUCAAUAGUGAAAGACGGUUUUGCUGUCACUUAUAGAUGGAUCCGCGCCGCAUUAGCUAGUUGGUAAGGUAACGGCUUACCAAGGCAACGAUGCGUAGCCGACCUGAGAGGGUGAUCGGCCACCCUGGAACUGAGACACGGUCCAGAAUCCUACGGGAGGCAGCAGUAGGGAAUCUUCCGCAAUGGGCGAAAGCCUGACGGAGCAACGCCGCGUGAGUGAUGAAGGUCUUCGGAUCGUAAAACUCUGUUAUUAGGGAAGAACAAAUGUGUAAGUAACUAUGCACGUCUUGACGGUACCUAAUCAGAAAGCCACGGCUAACUACGUG
rnacentral:rRNA from 1 species